rnacentral:sRNA from 2 species
AUUGUUUUUAACUACCAAGAAAUGACAGAAUUUUCAAAUACGCCAAAUUAACGAUGUUGGUCCGAACCAACGCCGCCAUUCACACAAAAAUGUUCCAGGAAGACAAGUAUGUUUCGUUUCGACUGCCACCGCCAUUGUGAAGAGUUGGGAACUGGAUAACAGGUUUGCAUUGUCGUCGCGGCAAUAAUGGAUAAUAUUUUCAUGUAUAUCGGGUGGUGCGACACGGGCUGAGUGCUAGCGUUGACUGUACCCGAAUUGGAAGUUUUACUCGCUCCAGGCCGAAUACAGAGCAUAGAUCCAAGGUCAUGGUCAGAAUCUUGAGAUAAUGAGAUCCAUUGGCUUUUAGUACACGUCAGUUUAUUCUGGAGGAGGAAGGAGGAUAAGAAAGUGGGAUUGCGGGAACAUUGUUUAGGGGAAUGGGUCAGAAUAUCUUCAUUUACGUUGAGUUGACAUUUCCUUCGAGUAUACAUUAGACCUUGGUAGUUACCCUUGAAUCGUUAUUGAUAUUGCUACACUGUACCAGUCUGCCAUUUUCCACAGGUCUUUAGAGAAGUUGUACACGACAGCCAUAAGAGGUGAGGGUGUCUAUUUAUACACCGAUAGAGGAGAUAAAAUCCUUGACGGUUGCUGCGCGCGGCAGUAUCAAGCAUCGGACAUGGAAAUAAAGAAGCAAUCGAGGCCGUGAUCGCACAAGCAAGGAAUCUGGCAUUUGCACACGCAUCCUUUUUCACGUCAGAUCAUGCCAAAGAGUUAUCAACAAGAGCAACGACGCAUUCUCAAAGGGUUACCUUUUUAUGCUCCGGUUCCGAAGCAGUUGAUUCAAUCUUGA